GCAUCACACGUGACAAAAAGGCCAGUUUGUAAGAACAGUGCUUGCAGCUAGCUGUGACAGAGAAAAUGGAGAAAGACUGCGAGACAGCGUAGGAGACCUGCUAAAAUUCACUCUUGAAUCCCAAGUUAACCAAACCCUAGAAUUCAAUCUCGGACUCUCCAAAGAGUUCUGCAUUAACCUCCUAGAAGAAGACCCAAAUGACGUGUCAUGUAACUGUCCUGCAACGGAUUCUUUUGAUGGGGUCGCUCAAUAUCCUUUGUAUAAGCGUUUAGCUUUGUAUCAUUCUGUAAAGUGUGGUGCUUUAUGGAGAACUUAUGUGAAGAUGAUGUUUUGUGAUGAAGAUAGUAACUUGAAGUAGAAAGAAGAGAAUUGGAAUCAGUUGAUUAAAUAAAAGGGACUUGAAUUGAUAAAUGUUUUGGAGGGUGUAUUUUGUGAAAUUCAUGUUCAGGAACCUUACUUUUCACUCUUGAAAGAUGGGAGCAAAACAGUCGAAGGAAGGUGUGCUACUGGUGAUUACAUAAUGUAGAUGGUUUGCCAUAUGCUUCAAGUACAUCAUCAUGAAUAUUUGCAAGUUUAUGAUUGUGCAACCUUUGAAGAACUCUCUGCAAGAAAGUGGAUGAAUGUCUUUAUUUUCUUAUAUAUUUUUGUAGCUUAUAUUCAGUUUUUUUUGCUAUAGAAUUGGGCUGGGAGAUGUGAUACUCGUAAACAAAACUGUGGUGAGAUGAGCCCGCAUUGUCGAGAUAUAUUCAUUCAUUUAUAUUUUCAGUCUGGGCUAUAUACUUUUAUCUGUUUCCUGAAUGUUCACAGAUACGCUUCAUUUUUUAAGAUGUUGCAAGCUGAGAGUCUCGAGAAAGUCCUUCCUGGAGUUAAAACUGUUGAAGAAGGGCAAACCGGGUGUCAAGAUUUAUAGGAAAUUAUAUGCAGAAGAAAAGGAAGUGUCUAAUGGUGUCCUGGCAAUCUGUGUUUCAAAACUGGCUGCCCAGCCAUACCUUUCUCUGGCUAGCAUACUGUUUGGAUUGAGUUAUGGAGGUGUUCAAAGUCAACUGGGUACUGCAGGUACUGGUUGAACAGUUUCUAAUUCCCUACCUAUUCCAAGAUCGACACUUCUCUCAUCCUUCAUUUUUCCAUAUAAUCUGAAUGUAAGAUCAUGGUACAUAAUGAAUUGUUUCAUGCCGUAAGCUAUCUCAAGAGAUUUUUUUUAGCUUUUUCUGGGCCCUAUGAUAAGAAAUUGGGUUGCAUUGAAUUGAUCUGUUCAAAAUUUGGAUUCAAUAGAAAGUCAUAGUAGAGAAAGCUCAUAGCAGAAUUUACUUAUCUCUUAAAAUGCAAACAAUGACUAUUCAAGGGAGAGUAAUCAUCUACCUUGUUUUUUCUUAAUAUCUGAUAUGUUAAUCUAAUCUAUUUAUCUUGUUCCAAUUUAGUCAUCCGUGAGAGAAUUGUUUUGUACAAAGGGAACAAUUUCUUGCUUGCUGGACUUAAUAUUCAUGUUGCCUUUAGACCCCCCAAGUAGUGGCAACCAAGGUUGAUUUUCAGCAUUCUUUGUGGGUACAUUUCCUAACUUUUUUUUCCUUUUUGUCAAACUGUCAAGGAAGCAGCUGUCUACUCAGUUCAUUAUAUGUUUGAGCAGGUUUAUGCAUGCCAAUUGUAGAAUUGUUUCAAGCUUGAUUUUGUAAAUAUAUUGUGGUUCAUGAUUCUGAGGUUUUUUAUUUAUUGGCUUGAGAUCAAAGGCAGUGCCUUGGCGAAGCAUGCUGAAAGGAGCAGCGAUAGAUUUCAGUCCAUUAACCGCUUGGGGCGUUCUUGGUGGAAGUGUUCAUUUCACUCAAAGAAAUGGAAGCAUUAGUUUGCUUGAGGGGGCAUUUCGACUGGCAUCCUUGAACUAUAUACUGUCUCAUAGUAAUGCCUUAGCCCUACCCUCGCUUUCCUUUUGUGUCAUUUCAGUUAAUAGGAUUUCUUGAACUACUCAUGGAAGAUGGUCACUUAAAGGGAUUGAAGCAUAGUUUGUGUGAGGGGGCAUUCCUAGUGGUGUCCUUGAUCUGUAAAAUUGUCAUCAUGAUAGCAACUUGAAUACAAAGUUUUCAAAGAAAUGAUAUCUUAAUAGCAGUGCUCAGUUCCAUCUUAUGAUACUGACUGGGACUUUAGAGAUCAUUGAUCUUUAUUGAUGUUCAAUCUCUGCUUGAUUUAAAACUUGAAUAGAAAGUAUUUCUGAGCUUGGCUGGUCAGGGGCAAUAAUCGUUAUGGCACUAGCAUUGGUUUGGUGGUGUCUAUGCACAUCUUGAUGUAUCUUAUGGGAAAGAUAUCAUAGGUUUGCAAUCAUUCCUUAAGUAGCUAUCACUCGGUAACAUGUCCUGCCUCGUACUCACUUGUUCUUUGUUUAUGUGACAGAUGUAUUUACAUUAAAGUCGAUAAGCAACCUAUAUAGAGUGUGACAUGUCACAGUACAGGUUAUUCAGGCAACCUGGAAGAAUUUUUGAAAAUUUUGAUUGAUGAUGGCACCAAGAUUGCAUCAAUAUUAUCUCAAGAGGGGCUGAUCGCAGUCGGCAAGCGCUUGUGCAUAUUACAACUGUUAAAUGAACCAUCCUUGUCAACCCCUCCCUCCAUUAACAUUUAGUGUAUGUAAUUAUCUUGGGGACAGUUGAUGUUUUAAGGAUUCUCAAAAGCAUGCAACAUACACCGGCUAAGGACAAUUUAUGUUUUCCCCUCACUUUGUUACUUCUCUCUAAUUAUCUGAAUGGUCGUGCAGUUUGGAUUUA